rnacentral:rRNA from 1 species
CCUACGGGUGGCAGCAGUAGGGGAUAUUGCUCAAUGGGGGAAACCCUGAAGCAGCAACGCCGCGUGGAGGAUGAAGGUUUUCGGCUUGUAAACUCCUUUUGUUAGGGAAGAUAAUGACGGUAUCUAACGUAUAAACACCGGCUAACUCCGUGCCCACAGCCGCGGUAAUACGGAGGGUGCAAGCGUUACUCGGAAUCACUGGGCGUAAAGGGGGCGUAGGCGGGACAGCAAGUCAGAUGUGAAAUCCUGGGGCCUAACCCUAGGACUGCAGUUGGAACUGUUAUUCUAGAGUUUGGGAGGGGCAGGUGGAAUUCUUGGUGUAGGGGUAAAAUCCGUAGAGAUCAAGAGGAACACU